rnacentral:misc_RNA from 1 species
CUUUUCUGGCCCCAAUGAAUCACAUUUUCCAACAUUUCUUAAGGAAAUUUGUACCGGUGUUUUCAAUGAUAUAUUGGUUUAUAGCAAGGAUAUGGAGAGUAAUUUGCAACAUUUGGACCGAGUGUUUAAAGUGCUACAAGACCAAAAUCUUUUUGCUAAACAAUCUAAGCAUUUCUUUGGGCAAACUAAAAUUGAAUAUCUUGG